GCCUGCGUCCGAUUAGGUUGUUGGUGGGGUAAUGGCCCACCAAGCCUGCGAUCGGUACGGGCAGUGAGAGCUGAAGCCCGGAGUUGGGGACUGAGACAAGGCCCCAGGCCCUACGGGGCGCAGCAGGCGCGAAACCUCUGCAAUGCGGGAAACCGUGACAGGGGGAUCCCAAGUGCUCAUGCAUUGCAUGGGCUGUUCUUUGGUCUAAGUAACCAGAGGAGUAAGGGCUGGGCAAGACCGGUGCCAGCCGCCGCGGUAAUACCGGCAGCUCAAGUGGUAGCCGCGAUUAUUGGGCCUAAAACGUUCGUAGCCGGAUAAGUAAGUCUUUGGUUAAAUCCUGCGACUCAACCGUGGGAAUUCUAGAGAUACUGCUUGUCUUGAGACCGGGAGAGGUUGGAGGUACUCCUAGGGUAGGGGUGAAAUCCUGUAAUCCUAGGGGGACCACCUGUGGCGAAGACGUCCAACUGGAACGGGUCUGACGGUGAGGGACGAAACCUAGGGGAGCGAGCCGGAUUAGAUACCCGGGUAGUCCUAGGCGUAAAUGAUGCGAGUUAAGUGUGGGGGCAUCUACGAGAUGGCCCUGUGCUGUAGGGUAGCCGUUAAACUCGCUGCCUGGGGAGUACGGUCGCAAGGCUGAAACUUAAAGGAAUUGGCGGGGGAGCACCACAAGAGGUGGAGGCUGCGGUUCAAUUGGAUUCAACGCCGGG
rnacentral:rRNA from 1 species